rnacentral:ncRNA from 2 species
AUGAUGGCAGCGGGAGAGAUUGCCUGCAUGAUUAGGGCAACGCCGAAGGAGCAAACCCGUUCAGGGGGAAUCUCUCAGGCAAAAGGACCUUUGUCGGACG